AUACGAAGGGACCUAGCGUAGUUCGGAAUUACUGGGCUUAAAGAGUUCGUAGGUGGUUGAAAAAGUUAGUGGUGAAAUCCCAGAGCUUAACUCUGGAACUGCCAUUAAAACUUUUCAGCUAGAGUAUGAUAGAGGAAAGCAGAAUUUCUAGUGUAGAGGUGAAAUUCGUAGAUAUUAGAAAGAAUACCAAUUGCGAAGGCAGCUUUCUGGAUCAUUACUGACACUGAGGAACGAAAGCAUGGGUAGCGAAGAGGAUUAGAUACCCUCGUAGUCCAUGCCGUAAACGAUGUGUGUUAGACGUUGGAAAUUUAUUUUCAGUGUCGCAGGGAAACCGAUAAACACACCGCCUGGGGAGUACGACCGCAAGGUUAAAACUCAAAUGAAUUGACGGGGACCCGCACAAGUAGUGGAGCAUGUGGUUUAAUUCGAAGAUACGCGCAGAACCUUACCAACACUUGACAUGUUCGUCGCGACUUUAAGAGAUUAAAGUUUUCGGUUACGGCCGGACGAAACACAGGUGCUGCAUGGCUGUCGUC
rnacentral:rRNA from 1 species